AUGUCAUUAGUUGAGUUUGAGUCUCUAGGCCUGUUUGUUUGGAUAGUAGGUUCCCCUCAAUCUGUAAGACAAGCAGAAAACAGAUUUAUUAGGUCAUUGGAGACAAUUGUAAGUAAGUUUGAUAAGGUUUUGUUAUGUCUGAUCAAGCUUGCAAAAGACAUCAUCAGGCCAGUAGAUCGUCAAUUCAGAACUGUGCAUUCCAAAUUAAGAUCUAGAAAGUAUGCACCAUUUAUGGAUAAUUGCAUUGGUGCAAUAGAUGGGACACACAUACAAGUUGUGGUACCACUUGCCACUGCUGCCCAGCAGAGGAAUAGACAUAAGGAGAAGAGUCAGAAUGUGAUGGUGUGUGACUUUGAUAUGAGAUUCACAUUUGUCCUAGCUGGUUGGCCAGGAUCAGUGCAUGACAUGAGGGUCUUCAAUGAUGCCCGAUCCAGAUUUGGUGACAAGUUUCCAAAACCUCCACCUAAUAAGUUUUAUCUUGUGGACUCAGGGUACCCAAAUAGACCGGGUUAUCUUGCACCAUUCAAGGGUUUAACCUAUCAUUUCCAGGAGUACCGUGAUGGCACAAUGCCUAGAGGAAAAAAGGAACACUUCAAUUUCACCCAUUCUUCACUUAGAAAUGUCGUCGAGAGGUGUUUUCGAGUCUUGAAGAACAAGUGGAGGAUUUUGUUUCACUUGCCUAGUUAUCCACAACAGAAACAAAGCAAAAUCAUUGUGGCUUCCAUUGCACUGCACAAUUUUAUUAGACAAAGUCAACUCCCCGAUAUAGAAUUCGACGAGUGUGAUCAAGAUGAAAAUUAUGUACCAUUGUCUAUGCCAACGACCACAACAAAUGAUUCAACAAAUGAUUCAACAAAUGAGAUGGACAGUGCUGCUAUGAAUCAAUUCAGAGCUUGGGUGGCUGAUGGGUUGUGGUCCUUGAAACAACAAUGA
rnacentral:rRNA from 1 species